rnacentral:rRNA from 1 species
GAACGAACGCUGGCGGCGCGUCUUAAGCAUGCAAGUCGAACGGCAAGAGGUAGCAAUACCUCCUAGAGUGGCGGACUGGUGAGUAACACGUGGGUGACAUACCCUUCAGAUGGGGAUAGCUAUAGAAAUAGUAGAUAAUACCGAAUACGAGCACAGGGGUUAGAGAUCUGUGAGGAAAGGAGCUAAGGCUCCGCUGAAGGAAUGGCCUGCGGCCCAUUAGCUAGUUGGUGAGGUAAGAGCCCACCAAGGCGAUGAUGGGUAUCCGGCCUUAGAGGGUGAACGGACACAUUGGGACUGAGAUACGGCCCAGACUCCUACGGGAGGCAGCAGCUAAGAAUAUUCCGCAAUGGACGAAAGUCUGACGGAGCGACGCCGCGUGGAUGAAAAGAAGGCCGGAAGGUUGUAAAAUCCUUUUGAAACUGAAGAAUAGGCGUUGUAGGGAAUGACAGCGUGGUGACAGUAGGUUUUGAAUAAGCAACGGCUAAUUACGUGCCAGCAGCUGC